rnacentral:rRNA from 1 species
UGCUCUGGUGGCGAGUGGCGAACGGGUGAGUAAUAUAUCGGAACGUACCCUGGAGUGGGGGAUAACGUAGCGAAAGUUACGCUAAUACCGCAUACGAUCUAAGGAUGAAAGUGGGGGAUCGCAAGACCUCAUGCUCGUGGAGCGGCCGAUAUCUGAUUAGCUAGUUGGUAGGGUAAAAGCCUACCAAGGCAUCGAUCAGUAGCUGGUCUGAGAGGACGACCAGCCACACUGGAACUGAGACACGGUCCAGACUCCUACGGGAGGCAGCAGUGGGGAAUUUUGGACAAUGGGCGAAAGCCUGAUCCAGCAAUGCCGCGUGAGUGAAGAAGGCCUUCGGGUUGUAAAGCUCUUUUGUCAGGGAAGAAACGGUGAAGGCUAAUAUCCUUUGCUAAUGACGGUACCUGAAGAAUAAGCACCGGCUAACUACGUGCCAGCAGCCGCGGUAAUACGUAGGGUGCAAGCGUUAAUCGGAAUUACUGGGCGUAAAGCGUGCGCAGGCGGUUUUGUAAGUCUGAUGUGAAAUCCCCGGGCUCAACCUGGGAAUUGCAUUGGAGACUGCAAGGCUAGAAUCUGGCAGAGGGGGGUAGAAUUCCACGUGUAGCA